CACCUGCUCCUCCACCUGAGGUCAGGGCACCAACCUCAGUGUGGGCAGAGCGGAUGGGGCGGCACUCCCUGGAAAGGCCAGGUGGACCAGCCAGGGGACCUGAGCCCUCAGAGCAGACCAAGUCCGACUGCUCUCCUGCUGUCCCGGGCAUGGAGACCCCUGGGCUCUCUGAGCACAGAGGGGAACCGUGACUUGGCAGGCUCAGUCCCCACUUGGAUAAGAGGAUCCUGGAGUCCAGAGGGAAGGUGGCAUAAUCUCGGGCAGGAGCACAUGCACUUGACCUGGGGCCCUCUCCCCAGGACCAGCAGUCUCCCCACAAACUCUUCUAUCCACUCACAGCUGAAGCAGACGGCCCUGGAGCUGCCCUGCUUGAGAAGUCAUCUACUCUGUGCUGUGCCCUUGCUGGGCAACCAGGACAGCACCCACCUUCUCCCGCCCGGUGUGCCAAGGGCCAGACUCACCUCCACCUCUCCUGUCUCGUUCUCCUUGAGCACGAAGCUGAGGACAUCCGUGUCAGGCCCUGCGAGCAGGCGUAGGUAGAGUGGGCAGUCAGCGACAGAGAGCUUCUGGAAGAGCACUGCAAACGAGAGAGGGGCUGAGCAGGCCAGGCUGGCGGGACAGCGUCCGUGUGCCUAGUGAAAGGCCCCUGACAAGAAAAGUGCAAACUUCUGCGGAUUGUCCACAACCAUGAACUUCUUGAGCAGCCCCUGGAUGACCUCACUGACUGUGGUG